GGACCUGACUGCUAUCGGAUUGAUACUAAGCCAUGCGAGUCAUUGUAGCAAUACAAGGCAUACGGCUCAGUAACGCGUAGUCAACCUAACCUAUGGACGGGAAUAACCUCGAGAAACUGAGAAUAAUGCCCGAUAGAACAUUAUGCCUGGAAUGGUUUAUGUUCCAAAUGAUUUAUCGCCGUAGGAUGGGACUGCGGCCUAUCAGUUUGUUGGUGAGGUAAUGGCCCACCAAGACUAUUACAGGUACGGGCUCUGAGAGGAGUAGCCCGGAGAUGGGUACUGAGACACGGACCCAGGCCCUAUGGGGCGCAGCAGGCGAGAAAACUUUGCAAUGUGCGAAAGCACGACAAGGCUAAUCCGAGUGGUUUCUGCUAAAGAAACCUUUUGUCAGUCCUAGAAACACUGAUGAAUAAGGGGUGGGCAAGUUCUGGUGU
rnacentral:rRNA from 1 species